AUGUUUAGAAAAAGUCAUCAACAAUAUUUUCAACAAGAAGCUUUUGGUUCUGCUGUGUCUAUAACAGAUUCUUCAUCGAUCUUCAAUAAUCAUUACACUCUCAAGGUUAUUGUAACCUUCUUGCAUAUAUUCAUCUAUAAUCAUCAUCAAAUCCUCUUUACAACCACGUUUCACUGCAUAAAUUAUUGA